GCCAUGUUUGAAUUCACCGGAUGUUUAUUUCCAGAAGAAAAGUAUAAACAAACACGACGAUAGCCUAAAAACGAAGUUUGUUUCCCGUCUUACUGAAGAAGAUCGACUUACUCCAAGUUACCGACGAAAGAAUAUCAGCUUUCUCGUUGUUUUUGACGACCGAUGCAUAUUUUUACCGACAAACAUCGUUACGAGACAGGGGUUUUGAUGAUUAAUUUAUCACAGAUUACACGACUGAAUGAAACGCAGUACCGAUCCAUGUGUUACAAUCAGACUGAGUCUGCAUGCAGUACAUUCUGGAAUGAGGGACACCGCAUGCAUUGUGGUUCAAAUUGAUGGCAUUGACUUAACACAAAGCAGAAAGGAAUGAAGAGAAAUUAAGAAGUUUAUGUUUCACAUUAAUUAAGAUUAUUCGAGAUAUGUUAUCUGUCGAGUUCACGGACACACAUGAAAACAGUUUCCAGUACAUCUGGGCUACUUCGAGGAAACUGUGUAUACUGUCUGAAAUCAGUCUUGUGCAUCGGUGACAAAAUGUAUACAUAUCCUACUUUAACUCUGCUGGAAAAUAUUAUUUUGUACUAUUUUCCUACUAUUUUAGAAGAAAAAAAACAGAAUUAUAAAUACAUACUGUAGUAUGUACUGACAUUGAACUUGUAUAUCUUGUUGACUAUUUUUGUUAAAACAAACCACUUCUAGCUAGGAUGAAUUGAUAUUAGUUGUAUUUGAAAAUUGUACUAGAAAAAGAUAGCUGUGUUGUGUAUGUGAUGGAAGUUUUGAGAAAAAGAAUAUAAGAGGCAAAUAAAAUAAGUACCAUGGGUAAAUUAGAAUUAAAAUUUGUUUUGUCACAUUCUCAUUUCAUUGAUGAGUUGUAAAUGUUUGAACUAGAAAAAACAGCCUGUAUGAAAAGUUUUAUACCAUGUUAAUUACCAAAUAAAAUGUAAUACAGAAGUA